GAGUUUGAUCCUGGCUCAGGACGAACGCUGGCGGCGCGCCUAACACAUGCAAGUCGAACGAGAGAGAGGGAGCUUGCUUCCUUGAUCGAGUGGCGAACGGGUGAGUAACGCGUGAGGAACCUGCCUCAAAGAGGGGGACAACAGUUGGAAACGACUGCUAAUACCGCAUAAGCCCACGACCCGGCAUCGGGAAGAGGGAAAAGGAGCAAUCCGCUUUGAGAUGGCCUCGCGUCCGAUUAGCUAGUUGGUGAGGUAACGGCCCACCAAGGCGACGAUCAGUAGCCGGACUGAGAGGUUGAACGGCCACAUUGGGACUGAGAUACGGCCCAGACUCCUACGGGAGGCAGCAGUGGGGAAUAUUGGGCAAUGGGCGCAAGCCUGACCCAGCAACGCCGCGUGAAGGAAGAAGGCUUUCGGGUUGUAAACUUCUUUUGUCGGGGACGAGUAGAAGACGGUACCUGACGAAUAAGCCACGGCUAACUACGUGCCAGCCGCCGCGGUAAUUC
rnacentral:rRNA from 1 species